UACGUAGGGUGCGAGCGUUAAUCGGAAUUACUGGGCGUAAAGCGUGCGCAGGCGGCGCCGCAAGUCAGGCGUGAAAUCCCCGAGCUUAACUUGGGAAUGGCGCUUGAAACUACGGCGCUGGAGUGUGGCAGAGGGAGGUGGAAUUCCACGUGUAGCGGUGAAAUGCGUAGAGAUGUGGAGGAACACCGAUGGCGAAGGCAGCCUCCUGGGCCAGCACUGACGCUCAUGCACGAAAGCGUGGGGAGCAAACAGG
rnacentral:rRNA from 1 species